UGAGAGGAAACGAGAAGUUCGAAAACGCACAACGAACCUGAAAGAGGAAAAAGAGUGACCUUGAAACUCUAAAUCGUUAACUAAGAGGAGACGGGACGUGUUACCACGCAUAAUGGAAAAGGGCGCAGAUUCACAACUUUGAAAGCGUGUAGGAGCUCCAAUAAAAACCUUGUUGACGACAUGAUGAUCGCCUAGCUAAGACGAUAAAAAUCGUGUGAUCGUCGGUCGAAACUAAAACUCUGGUGGUGACAAUGGUAGACGAUUGCGUCACUAGCAGCAGUAGAUGACUCC
rnacentral:lncRNA from 1 species